GACGUAGGGUGCAAGCGUUGUCCGGAUUUAUUGGGCGUAAAGAGCUCGUAGGCGGUUUGUCGCGUCGGGAGUGAAAACCCAGGGCUUAACCCUGGGCUGGCUUCCGAUACGGGCAGACUAGAGGUAUGCAGGGGAGAACGGAAUUCCUGGUGUAGCGGUGAAAUGCGCAGAUAUCAGGAGGAACACCAGUGGCGAAGGCGGCUACCUGGCCUAAUACUGACACUGAGGCACGAAAGCGUGGGGAGCAAACAGG
rnacentral:rRNA from 1 species